AAUAAGCGCAGUCAUAAGUUUCUGUGCCCAACUUUAAUCGUCCGUCUUAUUUGAAUUUUUUAAAUUAGUAUUUUUAUGUUAUUAGAUUCUAAAAUAUGGACAGUAGUUUAUGCGUGAGUCAUGUUUUUAAUUUUUUAAAAUUUUCUAAAUAAGACGAAUGAUUGAAGGUGGGCACGAAAACUUUUGGGUAAGCUUGUU
rfam:Oryza meridionalis cultivar OR44 (W2112) chromosome 2, whole genome shotgun sequence.